GACAGAGGUGCCGAGCGUUAGGCGGAAUCACUGGGCUUAAAGCGUGUGUAGGCGGGCGAUCAAGUACCUUGUGAAAUCCCACGGCUCAACCGUGGAACCGCUGGGUAUACUGGUUGUCUUGAGCCGGCUAGGGGCGAGCGGAACAGACGGUGGAGCGGUGAAAUGCGUAGAUAUCAUUUGGAACGCCAAUGGUGAAAACAGGUAACUGGGAGUGUGCUGACGCUGAGACACGAAAGCCAGGGGAGCAAACGGG
rnacentral:rRNA from 1 species